UACGGGGGGAGCAAGCGUUGUUCGGAUUUACUGGGCGUAAAGGGCGCGUAGGCGGCCACCGCAAGUCGACUGUGAAAUCUCCGGGCUUAACCUGGGAACUGCAUUGGUGACUGCAAGGCUUGAGUGUGUCAGAGGGAGGUGGAAUUCCGCGUGUAGCAGUGAAAUGCGUAGAUAUGCGGAGGAACACCGAUGGCGAAGGCCAGUCUCCUGGGAUAACACUGACGCUCAUGCACGAAAGCGUGGGGAGCAAACAGG
rnacentral:rRNA from 1 species